CCAACAGGGAUUGCCCUAGUAACGGCGAGUGAAGCGGCAACAGCUCAAAUUUGAAAUCUGGCCCUCGGGUCCGAGUUGUAAUUUGUAGAGGAUGCUUUUGGUGCAGUGCCUUCCGAGUUCCUUGGAACAGGACGCCUUAGAGGGUGAGAGCCCCGUACGGUUGGACACUAAGCCUCUGUAAAGCUCCUUCGACGAGUCGAGUAGUUUGGGAAUGCUGCUCUAAAUGGGAGGUAAAUUUCUUCUAAAGCUAAAUACCGGCCAGAGACCGAUAGCGCACAAGUAGAGUGAUCGAAAGAUGAAAAGUACUUUGAAAAGAGGGUUAAAUAGCACGUGAAAUUGUUGAAAGGGAAGCGUUUAUGACCAGACCUUUGUCUGGCGGAUCAUCCGGUGUUCUUCACCGGUGCACUUCGCCAGGCUCAGGCCAGCAUCGAUUUCUGUAGGGGGAUAAAAACCAUGGGAACGUAGCUCUCUCCGGGGAGUGUUAUAGCCCUAGGUACAAUACCUUUACGGGGAUCGAGGUUCGCGCUUCUGCAAGGAUGCUGGCGUAAUGGUCAUCAACGACCCGUCUUGAAACACGGACCAAGGAGUCGAACAUUUAUGCGAGUGUUUGGGUGUUAAACCCUCACGCGUAAUGAAAGUGAACGGAGGUGAGAGCCCGUACGGGUGCAUCAUCGACCGAUCCUGAUGUCUUCGGAUGGAUUUGAGUAAGAGCAUAACUGUUCGGACCCGAAAGAUGGUGAACUAUGCGUGGAUAGGGUGAAGCCAGAGGAAACUCUGGUGGAGGCUCGCAGCGGUUCUGACGUGCAAAUCGAUCGUCAAAUCUGCGCAUGG
rnacentral:rRNA from 1 species